GACGAACGCUGGCGGCGUGCCUAACACAUGCAAGUCGAGCGGAGACAGUGAGUAGCUUGCUAUGGACUGUUUUAGCGGCGGACGGGUGAGUAACGCGUGAGCAACCUUUCCCAGACAGGGGAAUAACACACCGAAAGGUGUACUAAUACCGCAUAAGACCACGGGAUCACAUGGUUCCGGGGUAAAAGAUUUAUCGGUUUGGGGUGGGCUCGCGUCCGAUUAGGUAGUUGGUGAGGUAACGGCCCACCAAGCCGACGAUCGGUAGCCGACCUGAGAGGGUGAUCGGCCACAUUGGGACUGAGACACGGCCCAAACUCCUACGGGAGGCAGCAGUGGGGAAUAUUGGGCAAUGGGGGGAACCCUGACCCAGCAACGCCGCGUGGAGGAAGAAGGUUUUCGGAUCGUAAACUCCUG
rnacentral:rRNA from 1 species